rnacentral:rRNA from 1 species
GACGUAGGGCGCGAGCGUUGUCCGGAUUUAUUGGGCGUAAAGAGCUCGUAGGCGGCUUGUCGCGUCGAAUGUGAAAACUCGGGGCUCAACUCCGAGCUUGCAUUCGAUACGGGCAGGCUAGAGUUCGGUAGGGGAGACUGGAAUUCCUGGUGUAGCGGUGAAAUGCGCAGAUAUCAGGAGGAACACCGGUGGCGAAGGCGGGUCUCUGGGCCGAUACUGACGUGAGGAGCGAAAACGUGGGGAGCGAACAGG